GACGAACGCCGGCGGCGUGCUUAACACAUGCAAGUCGAACGGUAAGGCCCUUCGGGGUACACGAGUGGCGAACGGGUGAGUAACACGUGGGUGAUCUGCCCUGCACUUCGGGAUAAGCCUGGGAAACUGGGUCUAAUACCGGAUAGGACCCUGGGAUGCAUGUCCUGGGGUGGAAGGCUUUUGCGGUGUGGGAUGGGCCCGCGGCCUAUCAGCUUGUUGGUGGGGUGAUGGCCUACCAAGGCGACGACGGGUAGCCGGCCUGAGAGGGUGACCGGCCACACUGGGACUGAGAUACGGCCCAGACUCCUACGGGAGGCAGCAGUGGGGAAUAUUGCACAAUGGGCGCAAGCCUGAUGCAGCGACGCCGCGUGAGGGAUGACGGCCUUCGGGUUGUAAACCUCUUUCAGCACCGACGAAGCGCAAGUGACGGUAGGUGCAGAAGAAGGACCGGCCAACUACGUGCCAGCCGCCGCAGUAA
rnacentral:rRNA from 1 species